rnacentral:misc_RNA from 1 species
AAAAUAGAAAAUUUCUAGUUUGGGUGUUCAUUUUGAGGCAUAAUCUAGUUGGCGAAAAAAGCUAGUUCGAUUUCUUGUUAGGAUACUAAAUUAAAGCUGGUUUAUUUUAUCCGUGGGUCUGCAACUAUCUUUAUUCGUUAUUUCAAGUCAGCUAUUGCACGACAAUUUGGAUUCGGUUUUAUUUCCUCUUACUGAAUUGCCAGUUGCUUGCGUACCUAGUUGGGUAUGGUAAUUUUUUCUCUGGAGGCAAAACAAGAUAUUGUCCAGUGUUUUUUCUUUUUUUGACCAUUUUCUAGUGCAUGAAUUUUUUUUUAUUGUUGCUUUGCUCUAACGAAAUUUUUAUGCAUUCUACUUAAUUUAGGACAAUGUUGAUUUCAAAACUAAAAGUGAUUUGGGUUUUAAUGUGUGUGCUUUGCUUCACGGUUAAAUGCUCUGGUUCUUCAUUCUUCUUUUUAAUUUUGUUGGAGUUAGGUUUUAAUUAAUAUCCAAUGCCAAAAAAAAUU